UAGGAAGGGGGCUAGCGUUGUUCGGAAUUACUGGGCGUAAAGCGCACGUAGGCGGACUCUUAAGUCAGGGGUGAAAUCCCGGGGCUCAACCUCGGAACUGCCUUUGAUACUGUGAGUCUCGAGACCGGAAGAGGUGAGUGGAAUUCCUAGUGUAGAGGUGAAAUUCGUAGAUAUUAGGAAGAACACCAGUGGCGAAGGCGGCUCCCUGGUCCGGUUCUGACGCUGAGGUGCGACAGCGUGGGGAGCAAACAGG
rnacentral:rRNA from 1 species